rnacentral:rRNA from 1 species
GAUGAACGCUGGCGGCGUGCCUAAUACAUGCAAGUCGAGCGAACGGACGAGAAGCUUGCUUCUCUGAUGUUAGCGGCGGACGGGUGAGUAACACGUGGAUAACCUACCUAUAAGACUGGGAUAACUUCGGGAAACCGGAGCUAAUACCGGAUGAUAUUUUGAACCGCAUGGUUCAAAAGUGAAAGACGGUCUUGCUGUCACUUAUAGAUGGAUCCGCGCUGCAUUAGCUAGUUGGUAAGGUAACGGCUUACCAAGGCAACGAUGCAUAGCCGACCUGAGAGGGUGAUCGGCCACACUGGAACUGAGACACGGUCCAGACUCCUACGGGAGGCAGCAGUAGGGAAUCUUCCGCAAUGGGCGAAAGCCUGACGGAGCAACGCCGCGUGAGUGAUGAAGGUCUUCGGAUCGUAAAACUCUGUUAUUAGGGAAGAACAUAUGUGUAAGUAACUGUGCACAUCCUGACAGUACCUAAUCAGAAAGCCACGGCUAACUACGUG